GGUCGCUUAGCUCAGUUGGUUAGAGCGUAAGUUCGAUAUCUGUCGAGAAUACAUCAAAUGAUGUACUAACUCAGCAUCAGGUGGUGCUAAUAACGCCAAGGUCGCGAGUUCGACCCUCGUAGUGACCA